AUGGCAGUGGUUGGGCCCAGCCGGCACUCGCGGGUGUCCAUGAGCGUGUCCAUACCGCUGAUGCAGGGCGGCGGGGCGGGGGCGACCGGCGCCGGCGGCGGCGGCGCCGGUGCCGCCGCCGCCGGGGCCCACCCGGGCCAGGCGGUGCUGGCCGCGGCCGCCGCCGCCGCGGCUGCGGCCCAAGCGGCGCCCCCCACUUACUACCACCCCGCGGCACCCGCGCCUCCGCCCCCACCGCCAGCUCAGGACCCAAUUCAGCCGGACCGACCCAUCGGCUACGGGGCCUUCGGCGUCGUCUGGGCUGUCACAGAUCCAAGGGAUGGCAGGAGGGUAGCCUUAAAAAAACUGCCGAAUGUCUUUCAAAGUCUAGUGAGCAGCAAGCGAGUCUUCAGGGAGCUGAAAAUGCUUUGCUUCUUCAAACACGAUAACGUCCUCUCCGCGCUGGACAUCCUUCAGCCGCCGCAUCUGGACUUCUUCCAAGAGAUAUACGUGAUCACCGAGCUGCUCCAGAGUGACCUGCAUAAGAUCAUCGUCAGCCCGCAGCAUCUCAGCCCGGACCACAUCAAGGUCUUCCUUUAUCAGAUUCUACGAGGCCUCAAGUACCUUCACUCGGCCCGAAUCCUCCACAGGGACAUCAAACCGGGGAACCUCCUAGUGAACAGCAAUUGCGUGCUAAAAAUCUGUGAUUUUGGGCUGGCCCGGGUUGCGGAGCCCGACCAAAACGUGCACAUGACCCAGGAAGUGGUGACACAGUAUUAUCGCGCACCGGAAAUCCUGAUGGGUGCGCGGCAUUACACCGCCGCGGUGGACGUGUGGAGCGUAGGCUGUAUCUUCGGCGAACUGCUGCGUCGGCGAAUCCUCUUUCAGGCCCAAAGUCCUGUGCAACAGCUUGACCUAAUAACAGAACUGCUGGGUUCGCCAACUCUUGAAGAAAUGAGGUAUGCGUGCGAGGGCGCAAAGUCGCAUAUGAUGAGGAGGGCGCAUAAACCGUCGUCGCUCGCCACCCUGUAUAAUCUCAGCAACCAGGCAACGCACGAGGCCGUCCAUUUGCUCUGCCAGAUGCUAGUCUUCGAUCCCGACAAGAGGAUCACCGUGGUGGACGCCCUGGCGCAUCCUUAUCUGGACGAGGGGCGAUUACGGUACCACUCGUGCAUGUGCACGUGUUGCUAUACGACGAGUGCCGGUGUGCGGCAAUAUAGGGUCGGUUUUGAGCCCUCGGCUUCCCAGCCGUUCGACGAUCUCUGGGAGCGAAAGCUGACGAGCGUGCAGCAGGUGAAAGAGGAGAUGCACAAAUUUAUAGCGGAACAGCUGAACACAUCGCGAGUGCCGCUCUGCAUAAAUCCGCAAUCAGCGGCGUUCAAGAGCUUCGCAAGGUAAGCCGUGUUAGGCGAAUCUAUGCGAGUUGUCCUUAUCUCACGGGUAUACACGGUGUUCCAGAACUACCGGGAAUAGGAAAUAAACAAUUAUUUAAAACGAUAAAUUUAAAGUAAUUAAUGAUUUUCGGUCGUCAACUGGAUUGAGGAUUUUCUAGAGCUCGAACUUGUACGCAAUUUGCGGCAAAAUUUUGCCCUUUGUGUACGUGAUUCCGAAUAGAUAUUAAUUCAAUAUAUUCAAUAGAAAUGUGUUUAAUGUUUAAAAAAGAUAAUGAAGAAAAACCAAACACAAUUCCAUUUAAAACUAAUUAUUUGCCGAAUUUCUUUAUUAUCUUGAUUGGUCGAUAUUAAUUACAACUCUGACUGAUAGUCUUAUAACUUCCGAAUAUCUCGGCAGUUCUGGGACACCUGGUAUGACACGACCUGAGCCACAAAUGUCCUGAAUACAGGAAAAAAAAGUCACCAGAGCCAGUCGACGGAGAACAAACCCUCCAAUAGAAUCUUAAAAAAAAUAUAAUGUAUACAUACUCACCCUUCUUCCUUUAAUUUUCCCUUUGAGAUUAAUCAACGCCCCUCCCCCUCCUUUCGCAUCUAUGCAUCUCCUGCGUCAUGAUCCUACAUCCCCGUUCAAAAAAGACAGACAGGCUAAUAAUCCCCAAGAGAGUUCAUAGAGGGGCGCACAGUGUUUCUUAUCGAGUCGAAGCAGUCGAGUAGAGCGAGCGGGAUAUAUAUCGGGUGUUCAAGAGAGUAGCGCUGACUAGAGCCAGCUGAGUCUUCCGGCGCGUAAAUGCAAAAUCGAUCGAAUCGGACUGGGAACGAGCCGUGAGAGAAAAAAGAAAAAGAGGGGCCUCUCGUCCUGGCGAUCCUCUUGCUGAUCGUCCUCGAAGGACGCGCGGUGUACAUUUCGUAAUAUUGCUCCGAAGUGUAAAGUAGACAUUAAAUAUGUAUGUGUCUCACGUAACCCUGUCGGCCCACUGUGACGUAAUCGCCGUGUGCGAUCUCUCGAUGUAGCGAACGAGCAGAGACCAAGUAGAUAAAAAGUUCAUAGUUAUCGAUAUCAUGAUAUUUUCCCGCAGAUUAUGCUAUCCAACAAAAUCUCACUCUCCUUUUGUAGAAGUACAGAAAAAGGGAGUUGAGGGACUAAGGCUUCGCGACUCCCUUUCUAAAUUAAUAACGCCAGAUUACGUCCAGAUUUUCUGUUGCAGAUUAAACAGUUUUAACAAAGAUUAAGCGAGAUGUAAAUACAACAUCUGAUGCAUUUUGAACAAUCGUUGAACAAAGAAGCGACUUCUUCGGAUCGUCUGAAAUAAAUCAAUCCUUCAAAUUAUUCAAAAUUAUCCAUAGGUGAUAUUAUUAUUAAUGUGUCAAGAAUAAAACAAUUAAGAGUCUGGAUGUAACUGCCGCUGCAAGUCUUCCAUGAAAUCAAUCAUUUUCAAUCAAAAUCAAGUUUCAAUCUUGACGUCUGAUUCUGAUCUCCGGAAAGAGGAGACAAGAUCGUAAGAUCUGCGAGAUCUCAUCAGUUCGAUCGAUCGUCCAUGACUUCUACAAAACGCGUGCUGUUGGGUAGUGUGAUUUGUGCCAAGUGAUGUUGGAUGUUGUAACAGUUGUUCGUCUUGCUUGAUCUGCCGUCAAGUUAGAGCAAGCCGAUCGCCGAACCAGCGCCCUGCGUCGCGUAUACGUACACGUUACUACUACCACUACCGACUCAGCUAUCUACCACUGUCAGCUACUAUCGACUACUACCGCUAUCGUCUACUACUACUACCACUACCACUACCGCUACUACUACUACUACUACCAAUCGUGUUACGCCUCCUCCUGAACGAACCGAAUGAACCGAGAGUCAGCUAUAGUCGGCGCGACCUCGCUCGCAGAGCUCCACGGUGGCUCACCCCUCGGAAUUGCCACCCUCUCCACACCAGUGGGAAUAAAGUCUUCCCCGUUCCCGUCCCCGAGAUAGGCCAUCGGACUCGAAACCGACGACUUUGCGUCGCGCGACAAGAAGAAAGGAGGAUCCUCGUCGACCGGAAGAUAGUAAGUCGCCGAUAGCACCAAGAGAGAAGAGGAGGAGGACGGAAGGAAGACGGGGGCUGGAAACUGCGGAGAGAAGAGCCAAGAGAGACAAUAGACUGCCGCACACACUGUAGCCUCAAUUUUCGACUAGCUGAUACAUAUACACGCAUGGAACAUCGCGAGACGCGCGGAAAAAUGACGGUGAUCUCGAGAUGCUCGUUCGAUUUAUCUCGACCACGCGUUUUCGCCAAUUAUCUAAUCUUCUUGCACGAGUGGAGCUUCUUCGAGGAACUCGAAAGUAGUUUGAAAAUAAUUCGAAUUCGGAGAUGCUCGAUGAAUAAAUCAGGGGAAUUCCGAUUUUUCCACGAAGAUGUAUUUUAACUGGAAAUUCGUUUUCUCGAAUUCCUUUCUCUCAAGCUCGUAUUUCCGCGUAAAAUAAAAACUGCAUAAAACGGCUUGAAAGUUCCUCCAAGCUUUUUUUCCGAGAGACACUUCCUUCAAGGAAAUCGGAGACAUUUUCCUUUAGUGAUGCAUUGCCGCGGAUUUCUCGAUUUUUCUUCUCGGAACACUUAACCAUAGUUUCGUCGAAAGAUAAUUUGGCAUUGAAAUAGAAGUACGGGUAAUAAUAUUCUGUUUCACAAUAUUUAAAUUUAGACGCGAUUUACUUUAAUGGUUUGUUUCGGUGGAUUGCUAGAUUUCCAUUUAAUUAGUGAAAUAUAAGUAUCGAUUCUCACAAAACUUCCACAAUACUCGUGAGAUCUGAAGAAAUCCACCGAUUCUAAAGAUUAAUCAUAGACUGAUUAAUGAAUAAAAAAAGGACAAUUUUUUGUGUAUCAUGAAGAAAAUGAAGGCAAGAUCAACUUGAAAUUCAACAAGAGCACUAAUCCGUCAUUUUGCUGCGCAUUUCACCGAGCACCCUGUGUGUAUAUAUAGCAAUAUAUUAUACAUAUUAUACGUUGUAUACAUACGACCGAGGGGAGAUAGAUACGUACACAUAUACGCGCAACACAGACAAACACACACGUACACAUGCAUACACACGAUAGUUAUCUACACAUCAUACACACUAGCCAAUUUAAAACACGAAGUAGCCAAUUAAUUCCGUGAGAAAGAAAGAGAGAGAGAGAGAACGCGCGAUGGGGGAUUUCCGAAGAGCGGAAUCAUGGGUACCGUGAGAGCGGGAGCACAGAGAGAAAGAGAGAGAGAGGAGGUGAAAGAAGUAAUAGUUUUAAUAGCGAUUAGUAAACGCGAGCGUCGAGAAGACGGGCCAGUCUUUUUUUUGUUCUUUCCUUAGAUUUUACACACGUGUACACAGGUCGCGCGAGGUCAGUUGGCAUUUAUAAUCGUGUAUGCGCGCGUGCGAGCGCACUUGCGGGAGGAAAGUGCCGGGAUAAGAAGAAGAGAGCACUUUCUCUCGUCCUGAUCGAGGAGAGACCUCGUCUCUCCGACGAAAGCGUGGAUAUCGCAUUACGAAUCGCAGCGCGUUCUCAAAAGGACGUUUCCACGAGAAGAAGGAGGUCGUUGCAACGACGAGAUUAUCGCGCGAGAUCGAAUGAUCCCUGAUAGAAUAUCGUUGAAGAACACGCUCGAGGAAUCGCGAGGUACGACAUCCUCACGAAGCAUCGAGCGGAUUCAUUCUCGGGAGGAUGUCUCGGUAUCUCAUUGUUAUCACGAGGACGUCCUCGCGACAAUGAUGAAACUAUCGCUUCGAAUAAUCAAGUAAAAAGACUUAGAUUGUUUGUGCGAUUGUUGCUCGUGGAACGCGAAAAUAGCACGUUGAAUUCAAUCGUCAUUGAUCGAGGAUGUCGGGGGAUGUCGCGCGAUCAAUUCUUCCUCCGAUCAGCGGAAACUCGAGGACUUUUCCUCUUACGGGAGAAAGACGUUUUUCGCAAGAUUCUCCGUUUACUGGAGCGAGAGUCAAGCAUCGUGCGAACUAAUCGAUCACUAUCGAUAUUCGAUGGAAACGAGACUCUCGCUGAAUCGGCGACAGAUCGGCGAUGAGGGAAGAGAGAGAUACAAGAAAGAAGACCGAUGAAUCGGAGAAGUCAUUGAUCCUUCUCGAUGGAGUGGCAAUUAUGAAAAAUACUGCGAGAAAGUAAAAACUCGCGGCGAAUGUGAUAUAUAACGGCUGGCGGAAUCGCGAGACGGCACUUUUCCUCCCUAGUGUCGGCGCUAAUAACGUGACGAAGCAUUUAAUUUCACAACCAGCGCGUUCGCUGGGAACAAAAACCCUCUGAUCGAGAUGUCCCUUUGCGGGAUAAGGAAGAAGAUAGGUGAGCAAUCACGAGAUAUGCGCACGAUAUGCGAGAGUGUGGAAAGAAAGGGAAAGUGGGAAAAAAUCGCAACGGCGAGUCGUGGAAAUUGAAAUCGGUAGAUCCGUCGGGAGAGAUCCGUUUGCGAGCAUCGUAUUGCGCGCGAUAUUUUCACAUUCAUCGGCGAAUGUUGAAGCGGAAAGAAUUCAAGCGCGAGAUGAACUUGAAUCGAUCGAAGUCGUGCAAGGAGCGAGACAGCUUCGAAGAUCGAUGGAUUCCGAACUAGAUACGCGAAAGAUCGUCCAUAGAUCAUCGAAGAAUCUUCAAAUCACUCGGAAGACGGAUACCUACUAUAAAUCUUUCGAUGAUACUUUCUUUAUAGCUGAUGACUCGCCGUUUCGCGAUAGCAUGAAAGAUGCUCGCGUCCUACGCUUUCACGAGCGUCUCGGUCCGUCUCUCGAGAUGUCGAUCUCGAGCGAUGGCACUGUUGGAUCUCAGGUUCGAAAAAAGUCGGGAAGGAACGAUGAAGGAACUCUCUUGCGAUAGAGUUCCGCAGGACUCCCGCACUUCCGUCGCGUAGAACGAGGAGAGCGGGAAAACGGAGGAUACGUACGAACCACGUAUCGACGUCCAACGAUCUUGUCGCCGACCCAUCUCGAGAAUUUCGAGAAAUCCCGUGUCGAGGAAACGGUCCUCGUCCACCCCGGCGACGACGAUGCUCCCUCGUUUACCUCGCGAACGCGAGUUUCCCUCGCGCGAUCGAAGGAUCGCGACUUAUUCCAAUAAAUACACUGCCGAUGUAUCAUGCGAGCGCAAUGGUAUCGAUAUGGGAAAACAUGUGAGAGAACGAAAGAGACAGAAGAUGGAUAGAUCAAGAUAGAAAGUAAGGAAAAUCGGAAAUUGGGACCGGCUUAAUCCUUUCAGGCUCAAACACUUCUGGUAGAAUUUUGAGAAACGAGCGAGAACGAGCAUAGAACGAAACAUAGAACAAAAUGUAAAUCCGAAAAUCUGAGCGGGGCUUUAGGCUCGGUCUCAAUCCCCGACGAGAGCGUAUAUAUCCGCACGAAAAAGUGAGAGGGAAGAGAACGAUGGAUCGAAAUCGUUUCUGUAUAGAUAAGUAAUACCUCCGCUCUUAUUAUUUUCAAUUGUUGUACAUUAUUGUAAGAGCGCCCACUGCCGUGCGACCGCGAAUCGACGCGCGAAUCCGGGCGAGAAACGUAGAAAAAAAUUACAAUUACGAGAGAAAGCGGAAACGGAAAUUUUUAGCGGUGGCUAACGGAAAGUAUUGUACGACUAUGCAAUUUGGAUGUUUUCAGUAAUGAUCGUUCUUUCCGGCGUUGAUUUAUCAGUAAUGGAAUAUGGAGGUCGUUCUCCCGUGAACUGAAAAGAGAUUCCCGAUCCGAAAUUCCGAACUCGGUGGGAAUAUGCCGCUCAGCAGCGUUUAUCUUUUCGCUUCAUCGCGUCUCGUGCCCUUCGCGAAGGGCAGUGUACAGAGAGAAGUGGAAGGGUGCACGGUACACAUAAUUACGUUCCGAGUGUGAUUUUAGAGAUUAAGGGAACUUAGGUAGAAGCCAGUAAGUAGCUCUGAAUCGAACGAAAUACCUUUAGGAGAAAUGCGAGCGAAGGGCGGUAGUAGGUAGUAGCGAUCUAGCGAGACGCGCCACGCGUGCUUGGUUCUCGUUGACGGUAACUGAAAAGCACAUGUGUUCUCUUUUUUACGCGGAUCCGCUCGUGACGACCGAUCGGAAGCGACGACGCGCCGGAAACCGCCGUUGCGAGGCAGUUGCCGCGCCUAAGUUAAUUGUAAUUAAUUAAUUAAGUGCUUAAUCAAUGCGCCGCGUGUCUGAUUCACAAAGAGAAGUACGUGUCGAAGAUUGUAUUGAGGCUCCUCGAUAACUCCUCCCCGAUGUCGGUAUUCUCGCCGAUGAUGGGAAAGUGGAAAAUGACGACCGAUCUCGUCUGUCUGUGAUGUCAUCGCGAAUUAGAUUAAAAGACGUGCAAUUUGAGCGGUCUAUUUCUGUACUUAUGCUUCAAUUCUUUGUCGUCUCAUAAGGACAAAAGAAUAGAAGACAUUUCUCUUUAUUUCUUAUUUCCGAGUGUUCUUUAUUUCGCGAUCUUUUAUAUCACCAACUGUCUAAAACUUAUAUUUUAUGCAAGAAAUAGCUUUUCGUUAAUUGUAAACUCUCUGGUUGUAAUUUUUACUUUCUAGAGGAGAUAAUUGCCAUAUAACUUUUUAUAGCUCUGGUUAUGAUAUUAAAUGAUUUUUAGAAAAAGAGAAUCUAAGAAAUGUCCAAACGAAAGAUUUAAAACGGAAGGAUAUAUUUUAAUGACAAACGUGGACAUGUUGAAAAUGCGAAAUAAAGAAUUUGAGAGCUACAAUUAAUGAAAAAAACAUCUUGAGAAUUGAAGCAACAUGAUUAGAUGAUUGACAUGAUAAGUCAUAUAAUUGACAUUACUAGGCAGAGAUCGAAAUGGUCGAUCGUGCUUCCAUUUAAUUGCGAGAUGCAUGUCGAGCCGAUUUCAACGAAACAAAGGAUCGAGGCGCGUUCUUCGAUCCUCUUUGAAUUUGUAUGUUUAAUAUGUAAGUAUCUCCAUGGACACGCAACGCACAACUCGUAAUGCGUAUCGCUGUAACUGCGUUAGCGGUAGAUGUAACAUACACGCAUUAACGUGUACGACUCAUUAUCACAACAUCGAUAACAACGAUGCAAAUGCCACUGCACGUUUUCGCCGUGAACGCUGCGUAAUCACGAUACCUGCGAGUCGCGUUUCUUCGAGCCUCUUGGCGUGGUGUUAUGCAAAAAAAUAAAAAAAAAGAAGAAAGAAAAAUACUUUUGCGUAAAGUAAUUUGUGUAACGGCUAGGAAGCAGUAAUUAGUACAAUUUAAUCGUAUUCUCCUUUUCAUAAAAACGCGACAUUUUUGUUUCUACAUCAGGAAAAUGUAGACUCUUUGUGACAUCGAUGAAAUUGUAACUUGUACAAAAUCAUGUGCGAUUUAUAUAUGGAAUUCUCAGUAUACUUGUGUAUAAAAUUACAUGUGACUUAUGAAGUUUUCAGUGCACCUUCUCUCCGCUAUAGCAACGCCGGACCUUUCGCUUCUUUCGUCUGAGAUCCUCCCGUGAUUGUCGCGGCAAAAAAAUAACGUAUCGUCGUCGUUUUCGAGCUGUCACAACGCGCUUCUCUCGAUUCGCACUUCUCAUUUGUAAAUAGACCGCCAUCGCGUUUAACGUGUACAUAAAUUGCAGUUCGUCGCGACUGCGAAACGCGCAUUAGCGCUGUCUCGCGAUCGAACGUUUCUGUCGUCUUGCAUUUUAAAUCGGAUGAGAGCAAACUCUGGCGGAAAGUUCAAUUCGAUUCGAAGCGCGGAGAACGAGGGAACUCCCUUCGUUCUACGUUACGGGGAUAACGCGACGCGCACAGUUAUAUCGCCGUUAUCGGAUUUAUUAUCGGGAACGUCGGAACUUGCUCGAUCGAGAAUUCUCCCGCGGAAACUUCGUCCAACGUGAACGUUCCUUUCGAGCUCCAAGAUCGAUCCGGGAUAUGCAAGUCGAGUAUAACGCGGAGAACUGCGAGCACUCGGAUACGAUAAUAAAUUGGCGACACACGUACACAUACGUUUCACGUGAUCGCGCGCGAACACGAUUAAUUAACGAGCAUUUCGAUUGCUUAGGAGAAUCGCGAGAUUAGUUUUACUUUUUACUUUUUUUUUCCCUUUUGUACCUAAAACGGAUUAAUCAACAAGACUAAUGACUGAAGUUGACUUUCUACUUUCGUGCGCGCAUUUUGCUACGAUAUGAUAUAAUUCGUUUGCUAGAUUUUCUCAAUUUUUCGCGCAAAAAUUUCGCGCGGAAGAAAAUUCGAAUGUUCCUUCCAAACUACGUAAUAAGACCGUUUCGAUUUAAUUAAUUGUGUGUCUGAGAGGAUUAAUUACGAAUAUUUGUAUCAACAUGAACUCACACGUAACGCGCGCGUAUUGCAGCUGAAACACAAACACACGCUCACACACGUACAUCAUGUCGUCGAUGUUCUUUUCGCGACAAGAAAAUCGAGAUGAAUCGGAGACUAGGAGAUAAGAUAUCUACAUUAUAGAUAAUGACCUUAAAUAAGCGACAAAAGAGAGCGUAGGAUAAACAAGUCUACGUAUAUUCCGCACUAGCGAAUGCGCCUUCACCAUGGAAAAUGGCUGGCACGAGAGAUGCACCGAACAAUAAAGUUGCUACGGAAAGGAAGAAGAAGAAAGUAAAAAAAAUGAUUAAAAGCGAUGAUUCUGUUGUUUUUGAUUUGGCAAUUCCAUAUGCACGUAGCCGCCCUCCAUAAACGUCCUGUCCCUUCCCGGCUUCUAUAGCUCUUAGUUCAGUUAAAUCUUAAGUUAAUAAUUCUGCUUUUUUACGUACUACUACUUAAUAUUAUACAAAGAUUGACUGCAACUUAGGUUUUUGCGAAUUAAUUUGAUUGAUUUCUCGUUAAUUCUCGUUUGGUUUGAAUUAUUUUGAUCUCGAUUUAAUUAUUAAAUAACAGAUUUGAAUUCCUCGCGAUUUGUGCUCGCACGUCGAUGUUCGCAUUUGCGUCAGUUUCGUUUUUGAUUAUGCGACAGAAGAGAAACAGACGUAAAUUUCCGCAAAAUGGAUUCUUCUGUCGCGUAAAGGAAAUCGUUCGAAUAAAUGCGAGUGAUAGCAAUGAUCGUUUCGCGCGCUCUCGUUGCCGAUCAAGUAGCGAGUAAUUUAAUUGUCCUCCGUCGGCGAUCUUUCUUCUGGAUUCGCGCCAAAACGCGAAGUUGUACAAAUUGUAAAUAAUUCGGAUCUCUCACGACAGAAACCCGCCGAUAUCGAACACUCGACGAAAAAUCAUCGACACAUUCGCAAACGCGAAAUUUUCUUUGCAUCUCGAUGUGGACCGCAUCAUUGGUUCCGUGAUAUCCUCAAAGUGGACCAAGAAAGUGCGCCAGAAAAGGAACUCACAAUCAGUUGCGUCUUGCAAUUAAGCGACUGUAAAAAUUAGAAAAUUCCUUUAAGAUUGUAAGGAUAAUCGUAACGCGUGAGAAAAUUAUAAAAUAAUAACGUUUUCAGGUGUGAACUUCUUUUAGAUUUGAUAAAUAACUCUAAUAAAAGUAAUUUAAUUAUACAAACUGUGAAUACAUUCCAAUUUUCAUUAAAGGACGAAUCAAAAUUUAAUCUUGCAAUCAGUAUACAUAGAAGCAGGCUUUAUUAAAAAAACGCGAUUAUCGAUAACUGAUUCAAUUAGAUAUUUAUGCAAGGUUCCUCGGAUUCGCGCAUUUUUCACUUCUACAUUCUUGAGAAGGACGAAGAAGUUUCGACAGAUCGAUAUUUGGCGGUUCUGUGGACUGUGAGACGAGAUAAAACGAUUCUUGUCGCUUUCUCAUCGGUAGGAUAGUCGUAGCGAACAGAGACAAAAUUGUGACGACCUGUCGUUAGUAACUAAGAGGCCUUAAUAUUUUAUCGCGUUUACGAUUAUAAUUAUACAUCGGUACAAUUUAAGCAUAGUGAAUACAUAAGGGAAUUGUAACGUAAGAGUGUCACCGAUGUACAUAUUCGCUCGAAUCGAGCGCGACCUCGUUCGAUUUUUCGCCAACUUUUUGCGUUUUAUAUCCAUCUUCUUUUCUCAAAUGAAAUCUGAUCUCAUGCUUCGCCGAAUUAUAAUCGAAGAGGCAAACGCGCGUAUAAUAUUUUCGAAAAAUUCGAUAAUUCUCUGCGGUACUUGUUGCGAAAGUUGGACGCGACAAAAGGUCGGCGUGACAUAUUGGCCGAUUGACAUCGGCUGACCAGAAGGAAGCCGAAAGGGUGCGAAAGAAUGGAGAAGUUUUUAUUCGCGUGCAAUUACACGGUAUUUACAACGAGUCAUAAAGCAGCAUGCGAAUAGGCACAUGUUACGUCUGUCGCAAUCGCGCGUUUUAUGGGCUGCGUUUAAAGCAUCAACGACGCGCAGGAUCGUAGCUCGAACAAACGAAGCAAACGCGAGAACAAAUAAUUUCUGUUUCUUCCCUUUUAAUCGAAAAAGAAAAAUCGGAGAGAGUUAAGUACCAAAAUUUUUACAAAUAGCUUUUAUAUUAUUAAUUGAUUAUACAUAUACAUAUAAUAUUAUUUUCCUAAGAUUCUAAUUACCACUUUUCAAAUAUGUAUAAUAGUUAUGUAGAUAAUAAUCUGAUUGCAGUCUGGUGGCCUUCUGCAAUAUCUAAUUUAAUGUGAACUUAAGAUUGUAUUUAAUCGAAUCGAGAAACGUUCGUAGUUUUUCGUUUUUCAUUAUAAAUUUUAAUCUACUUUUGUUUAUUUGACGCGUUUCUAAAUGUACAUUGUUUUCAGUACGUAAUAUAUCUUUCAAAACAGAUUGGUACUGUGGCAUUUGUAGUUAACAAAAAGCAAAGGCCCAAGCUUAGCUGAAUAGUAGCUACGCAGUUGGCGAGGCAUGUCAGGUUUGUGCAUAAGAAUAUGCGAAACUGCAAUAAAAAUUCUGUAGGCCAAGGACGAUUCGCGCGAAGGAUACGCAACGUGAUGGCUACCGAAAGAGCAAUAAGAUAAUCGCGACGAUCAAGAACAUCUUACAAAGAGAGAUAUUUAAUUUGCAUCCCGCAAUCUCGACGCGAAAGAGAAGAAUAAGAAUUUGCAGCGUCGAAUAAAGCAAAGUGCACGAUAAUAAAAGAAAAUUAAAGUGCGACAGCAAUAAAAAUAGAUGAAAAGUAUGCGAAAAAUCGAACGAAGUCGCCUGAUUGUACAGAUGUCUUUCCGGGAGCGGGUAGGAGCGUUUCGCCAUUUAAUAAUCUACCAGGUGGCCGAUAAACAUGGCACAUUUGAUGCACAUGACGAUACCUUUUGUUGAAAAUUUUAAAAAUGAUGCUUCUUUUAAGCACAUUGGCUCUUGCGACGUUAACACGGCAUUUUUUAGUUUUCAUAUAAUUACUUAAAUUGUGUGGUUUCUUUUCUGAGAAUUCUUAGAUUUCUAGCACGUUUAAAGCAGAGAACUUUGAUGAUUUUAAUAUUUGAAAUCACAAAAGACACGUUCAUAUUAUACGAUUUACUGUAAAUAGAUACUACUUUAACAGAAUCUUGAUUCUAAUCUUUUCUUUUGUAGACGAUAUCGAUUAUAUUUACAAGAUAAAGACAAGAUAUCGUAUCUUUCAAAAAUUUUUAAAUAUCGUAUUACGUAUUAAAAACCAGAUUCUUUAAUAAAAAGCUUAAUCAGCACGAAUCUCUACUAUACGUUCAAUAAAAUUAUCAAAAACCGAUGCAGCUCUGUUUGCACUUUGAAUAUUUCGAAUAAACAUUAGAGCUUGAAGAAACGCGAAGAUAUUUCAGUUUCAACGAGGAGAAGAUCAUUAGAACUUUCCGCAAAAGAUACCGUUACUGUCGAACGCUUUGUAGGCGGACAAGGAAGCCCGGCCGACUGUAUAAAUAUUCAACGAUCCUUCGGAGGACUUCGAGGGGAUAUUCACGUACCUUGAAAGUAGCCCGAAGCCUUUUCGAACGUUUUAGUGUUCAAGCGACCGUGAAGCUGUACAUAUAGACAGGAUAUAAUGUAAGACAUUCUCUUUGCUCUUAAAGGAUGCAAGAAGCGUUCUCGGUUGUUCUCUCACGAGCAAGAAAGACAAGGGGAGAAAAAGAGAAAAUGAAGAGAAAGAAAGAGAGAGAGAGAGAUAAGGAACGGAUGAUCCUCGUACUGUCUCUAGCUAAUUAAUGAUUAAACGAGCCCGCGGACUGGAAGCGUCCCCUCGUGCGAUCUUCGCUCCGAUCUUCCAACCUCGGGCAAUGAUCGAUCCUCGAUGUGAUAUUGAGAAACAUGAUAUUUUCUUUUUCGUUCAUCAGUGGGCAAUCGACGAAUCUCAAGAACGGCAUUUCGCGUUCUAUUUUCUCGCGCGGACAACACGGUAUCCGCAUAGAAUAGAAACGACAGCCGCGGUGUUUCGCUGAGAUCGACGAUCGAUGAUCGAGCCGCGGACGACGCAAUCGCGAUCGACAAGCUCAGGAUGAUCGUGGACUGGUGACUCUGUAAAAUAUCCCAGAAUAGCUUCGACGGUGUGGCUGUUAUUUUUUAUAAAUAUUACUGGUCGAGAGAAUCUCUGUACUGGACGGAGCGAGUUUUCAAACGCGGGCCACGCUUGAUUCGCCAAUCGUCGAUCCGCGAUUUCAUGUUCCGCGUGUCUCUCGUUCUUGGUGUUUUCGUGCGUUUUGUGUAAAUAGAGCUGUAGUUCUCGUCCGCGGUGCUCUCACGCUUGCAAAUGCAACGAGGAAGUGCGAUCGAUCGCAUCGCAUGAUUUUCAUCUCGUUUCACAAUUUACUUUUACAAAAGCAUUUUUUGAAAAACGAAACAAGCACGAUUAUAUUACAUAACAUGAAAUAAUAAUGAAUUAAACAUUGAAAAAUUUACGAUGGUAAUACGAAAAAUCAAUAUAUAAAUCUACUUGAGCCACAGCAGAGAUUAAUCAACAAUUGUUUAUCGGCGGAUUGUGGGCGAUGAUUAAUUAGUGAUUAAUCUUUGCUUAAUGUUGAGAAAUGUAGAAUUAAUCGCGGGUGAGAGCACCUUGAUCACGGUCAGGGAUCCGCGGAAUCCCCGGCGCGUGAUUGAAGGACCAAUAAAUCAACCUCUUGGUGGACUCGUGUGUCUAAUCACUAUUUAUCAUUUAGACCAGUAAUUAGAGUGCGGCUCUGUAAAUAGGAAUCGAUGAUCUUCGACUUAGCGUGUAUUCACGUGCGCGAAGAAAGAGAAUACGUGUAUAGAAAAGGAGAGCGCACGAGCUCCCUCAUUCUCAAGAGCACGUGCGAGUGCACGUCUCUGCGAUGGAACUCUUUUCUUUUUUUUCUCUCAACGUGUCGACACUACUUGUACUUAUUACUUAAUAAAACGUAGAAGUUCAUCCCUGCGCGAUUUAGUCGCGAUAUGUGUAUGCAAUGUGUCCGCGGGGUCCGGGGCCCCGAAUUUUGAUCGUGCCGGCCCGGGCCCACGCCGAGCUAAACUCUAAACUCACGGCCAAAAUAACGUAAUUUAGGGAAGCUGCUGCUGGCAAUGCCUUCUUAUUCUUUACACUGUGACGUACCAACACACACGUACACAUACACACACCAAUACAUGUACCGGUGCAUGGACUGCCCGAUAAUUAACCGAGUAUCAAGAUAACUAUGAACUGUUUGUAAUUGAUUUCCUGUUCGCGAAGAUCACGUAGAUAUAUACAGGGUGUUCUAUCAGCCUUCGCGUGAGCAACAGCUCACGUCACAGGUAUCGUAGGAGAGGUUCCGCGAUGCCACGCUCUUCAAAUGACGUAAUUAUUAAUCGAGUGAUCAACAAUGUAACGCGGAUAUUUUGCUUUCCGAUAAUCUGAACGCACAAAUCGAGCGAAAUCGAUCUCGUUACGGCACACGAUUAAUUAUGGCAGCCUGUCUAUCUUAUACACUCUUGUAUGAUAUACACUAAAUGGCGUGGUUCUUCUUCCUCUAGCCGACUCGAGGCGAGUUCCGAAAUGUCGCGAUCGCUCGCGCAGGGGACCUCGUAACUUUGAUCGGAAUCAUGCGAAGACCGCUGCGAGAUUUUAGAGCGUCAAGUUAUGCAUGAUGCAUGCGUUAGAAAUAUGGAAAAAAGAACAAAGACGAAUGGAAAAUAUCUGGAAGUAACGAGAGACGGUGGCGUGUAACAUACGUAGGUAGAAUAGUAUAUCAUGACUGCAAGUAUUGUAGAACGAAAAAA
rnacentral:misc_RNA from 1 species